AUUGAACGCUGGCGGCAGGCCUAACACAUGCAAGUCGAGCGGAUGAGAGGAGCUUGCUCCUCGAUUCAGCGGCGGACGGGUGAGUAAUGCCUAGGAAUCUGCCCAGUAGUGGGGGACAACGUUUCGAAAGGAACGCUAAUACCGCAUACGUCCUACGGGAGAAAGUGGGGGAUCUUCGGACCUCACGCUAUUGGAUGAGCCUAGGUCGGAUUAGCUAGUUGGUAGGGUAAAGGCCUACCAAGGCGACGAUCCGUAACUGGUCUGAGAGGAUGAUCAGUCACACUGGAACUGAGACACGGUCCAGACUCCUACGGGAGGCAGCAGUGGGGAAUAUUGGACAAUGGGCGCAAGCCUGAUCCAGCCAUGCCGCGUGUGUGAAGAAGGCCCUCGGGUCGUAAAGCACUUUAAGUUGGGAGGAAGGGCUUACAGCGAAUACCUGUGAGUUUUGACGUUACCGACAGAAUAAGCACCGGCUAACUUCGUGCCAGCCGCCGCCGUAA
rnacentral:rRNA from 1 species